rnacentral:lncRNA from 1 species
UGUUUUUUCUCAUUGUAUGAUGCAAGUGUCUUCAUUUCACUCAAAUAGUUUUAGUGGUUGACUGCUUGGAUUUAAGCUUAACUACCUUUUCUGUGAAAUUAGGAAACAUGAUUAUUUUAAUCCUAGAUUUGACAAAUAGGUUUGGCGCAAUCACACAGAAAAACGCAAUAAAAUCGUAUUGAUUUUUUCACAUCAGACAACAUUGGGGCAAACCAAUUUGAAAGUUAUCUAAAUUUGUGACAAUUUGCAGUCUGUAAAGGAUCGAGUUUGAAGUAUUUCUUCCGAAUAAUGAAAAGUACGGGACAAUAAUUUGAAAAGCUUUCAUUUAAAGGGUAAAUUAAACAUAUUACCGUGUGACAUGUCAACAGAAAUACAUACUAUGAAUCCCUUUUAUUAAAAUCAUACCGCAGUAAAGAGAGC